UGGCAUCAGAAGGAUAACGUUGCGUCAGCAACGGCCCGAAGGGCGAGCCGUAAGGCGAGUAAUCCUCCCGGAUGCACCA
rnacentral:sRNA from 1 species